GUGGGAACGUGGCUUGGUUGGUACAGCCUUGGCUUAAUGGGAGACAGCUGCCCUCAGCUCUGCAGGUGGCAUCAAAUACGGUGGCCUCGAGCCCACAUGGGUCACACCUGGGCUGUCCCUGGGGAAGCCCGCCACGGCGGGUCACCUGGGCAUUCUUUCCCUGGCAGAGCCGAAGUCACAAUUUUUUUGUAGACUCUAAAGAGCUUUACCCUUCCGAGAUAUGAUCUUGAAUCUUUUGGAGCAUUUGGACGCAUUUCUUUUAAGGAAGUUCACCUCCAGAUGUGCUCAGACGGCCUGGUCUUAGCUGCCACAGAUUUACAAAUUCUUACAGACGCAAGGAUUGAGAACAAUGGACUUUUUGAUGUGUGUUGCAACAAACUCAUAGCCGAGGGCUGUAAAUCGGAGGGAUCACCAGGUCUGCCUACCAGCCACGAGGGAAGUGGUGAGAAGCUGUCACCCCAACUUGAGUUUCAAGAAGACUCCUUGGAAGAAGAGACCACCAAAUUGAGAAUGAAAAGAUCAUACACGGGGGUCGUCAGACAUGGUCUGAGACCUGCUGGGAAGAACAGUAGCCCUGCUACCCCCUGGCUUCUGCUCACAGCACUGACCCCAGCUAAUCCAAGAACAUGUCACCUAUAAUGAGAAUAAUGAAGAAAAAUCAACCAUCUUCCAGAUGUGUCUAUAUCAUGAUACGGUACAUGGCAAGUUGUAGCUAUUCUUGAGAUGGGGCAGUGGCUCCAUGCUCUGGCCCCCGACCUCAGCAGCUGUCCCAGCUCAUCACCCUGAGUGCCAGCUUUCCCAUCUCAUCUCAGGAUCUGCACUGGACGGGCACCAGGUCUUUCUUCAGCGAACAUCUAAACUCUCUCAAGUGUCUCCAGAGACUUUUACAUGUCUACAAAGAUGACCUCAUUCUGUAGCAGCAUGGAUUUAACUUGCUCUUCGAUGUCACUCCUUCACAGAGUGCACUGUUCAUCGUCACCCUAUCCAUUAGCGUCAGUCUUACUAAAAGUCAAACAUCAACGUUAGUGGUAACUCUGGAGGCCUGGCAUUGUAGCGAUAUCCCCAAGAGAAAAUUGUUUUGAACCUUUCUGGGAAAAGUUCAUGUACGUUUUAUUCAAACGCUAGUUUUUAUAAUCUCGCUACCAUGUGGCUUUCCUGAAGGAUGAAAUUUCUAAUGUCCUUCAGGUAGAGAGAGGUAAAAAGUAUUCUAGAACAUUAAUUGCCCACUCCUCUCAUCCCUUCUCAGAAACCAACUGAAUUCCAGUGAGUGUGCCUGGCAAACCCAAACACGGUUUUCUGUUCAGGAUGCUGGUCUUACCUGUGAAGGCGUUCAUGAACGUGGAGAGGGACCGGCUCAACAUUUUGAAGAAAGGGUCUCUGCAUGGGUAUUUCCGAGACCCACAAAGGAUGGUAUGCUCAAGAAUGUGAGGAACACCGGUACUGUCCAUGGGAGUGGUGCGGAACUGCACGCUAGGGAAGAAGGAACGGCACGCCAGGAAGGGGGAGGAACAAGGAACAGAAGGCCAGCGACGGGGAGAAACAGAACGCUAGGGAAGGAGAAUGACUAGAAUACAAAACGUUCAUCUUAGUGCUGUGGACACAGUUCCCAGAUGCAUCAUCACCUUGGGCUACUAGAAAUCAUUCUGACACCACAAUCCUCCAACCCAGGGUUUCCCAACUUUAAUGUAAAUCAUUGAUUCAGAAUAUAAAAUUAUAUUUUGAUGAGAUUGUAAGUCCGUGUAAGCUUUUCCUUAUUUUUCAAGAUGCUCUGUCAAUAAAAAUAUUAGUGAGAUGAUAU
ensembl:lncRNA